rnacentral:rRNA from 1 species
CCCUUAGAUGUCCUGGGCCGCACGCGUGCUACACUGACGCCUACAGCGAGUACUCCCCAGCCCCGAGAGGUGGCUGGUAAUCAGCAAUAGGCGUCGUGAUGGGGAUAGAUCUUUGGAAUUAUGGAUCUUGAACGAGGAAUGCCUAGUAAGCGCAGGUCAUUAGCCUGCGCUGAUUAAGUCCCUGCCCUUUGUACACACCGCCCGUCGCUCCUACCGAUUUCGAGUGGUCCGGUGAAUCUUUCGGACUGCGCGCGGCCUCGUGCCGUGUCGCGGAAAGUCAGGUAAACCUUAUCACUUAGAGGAAGGAGAAGUCGUAACA